CUCGUAGUUGGAUUUCUGGUUGGAGCGAUCGGUCCGGCACUCUGUGUGGGUACUUGAAUCGUCUCCGGCCAUCCUUGGGGAGAGCCUGUCUGGCAUUAGGUUGUCGGGCAGGGGAUACCCAUCGUUUACUGUGAAAAAAUUAGAGUGUUCAAAGCAGGCUUAUGCCGAUGAAUAUAUUAGCAUGGAAUAAUAUUAUAAGACCUUGGUACUAUUUUGUUGGUUUGCGCACUGAGGUAAUGAUUAACAGGGACAGUUGGGGGUAUUCGUAUUCAAUUGUCAGAGGUGAAAUUCUUGGAUUUAUGGAAGACGAACUACUGCGAAAGCAUUUACCAA
rnacentral:rRNA from 1 species